CGCUCCGCAGCGCCCCCAGCGGCGGGGCGGACCGUUGUGCGGGGCGGCAUCGUGCCGGUCCAUGAGCUGCCGGCACCAGUCGAAGCGAUGGCGGGGUGAAGGAAUGCCUAGGGCUUGUUAGUAGCCCGGAUCUGUGCUAUGCAUGAAAGAAAAGCUGGGAAUAUGGGAUGAGGAAAAGGCUAUGCAGGUGUCCAGAAUGGUGGAGCAGUUUGGAUGUGUUCAGAGCAGCUGCAGAUUCUUGGCCAGUUCUGCAGCACUUGACCCCCAAAAGAGCCAAGAGUGGCAGUGGAGGAGGCGUUGGUGGUGAGUGCACAGGGAUGAAUCACUUUUGCUUCAGCAAUGAACACAGUUGAGUCAAGAUGAAUUUCUCAACUACUGUUAUGUUAUGCACAUAAAAUAUGAGAUGGGAGG